AAAGUCGUAACAAGGUUUCCGUAGGUGAACCUGCGGAAGGAUCANNA
rnacentral:rRNA from 1 species